rnacentral:rRNA from 1 species
GAUGAACGCUGGCGGCGUGCCUAACACAUGCAAGUCGAGCGAUCUUCUUCGGAGGAGAGCGGCGGACGGGUGAGUAACGCGUGGGUAACCUGCCCUGUACACACGGAUAACAUACCGAAAGGUAUGCUAAUACGAGAUAAUAUACUUUUAUCGCAUGGUAGAAGUAUCAAAGACACGGAGGUACAGGAUGGACCCGCGUCUGAUUAGCUAGUUGGUAAGGUAACGGCUUACCAAGGCGACGAUCAGUAGCCGACCUGAGAGGGUGAUCGGCCACAUUGGAACUGAGACACGGUCCAAACUCCUACGGGAGGCAGCAGUGGGGAAUAUUGCACAAUGGGCGAAAGCCUGAUGCAGCAACGCCGCGUGAGCGAUGAAGGCCUUCGGGUCGUAAAGCUCUGUCCUCAAGGAAGAUAAUGACGGUACUUGAGGAGGAAGCCCCGGCUAACUACGUGCCAGCAGCCGCCGUAA